UACGUAGGGCGCAAGCGUUAUCCGGAAUUAUUGGGCGUAAAGAGCUCGUAGGCGGUCUGUCGCGUCUGCUGUGAAAACUCGGGGCUUAACCCCCGGGCCUGCAGUGGGUACGGGCAGACUAGAGUGCGGUAGGGGAGACUGGAAUUCCUGGUGUAGCGGUGAAAUGCGCAGAUAUCAGGAGGAACACCGGUGGCGAAGGCGGCGAUCUGGGAAGAUACUGACGCUGAGGUGCGAAAGCGUGGGGAGCAAACAGG
rnacentral:rRNA from 1 species